AUUGAACGCUGGCGGCAGGCCUAACACAUGCAGGUCGAGCGGAUGAAGGGAGCUUGCUCCUGGAUUCAGCGGCGGACGGGUGAGUAAUGCCUAGGAAUCUGCCUGGUAGUGGGGGAUAACGUCCGGAAACGGGCGCUAAUACCGCAUACGUCCUGAGGGAGAAAGUGGGGGAUCUUCGGACCUCACGCUAUCAGAUGAGCCUAGGUCGGAUUAGCUAGUUGGUGGGGUAAAGGCCUACCAAGGCGACGAUCCGUAACUGGUCUGAGAGGAUGAGCAGUCACACUGGAACUGAGACACGGUCCAGACUCCUACGGGAGGCAGCAGUGGGGAAUAUUGGACAAUGGGCGAAAGCCUGAUCCAGCCAUGCCGCGUGUGUGAAGAAGGUCUUCGGAUUGUAAAGCACUUUAAGUUGGGAGGAAGGGCAGUAAGUUAAUACCUUGCUGUUUUGACGUUACCAACAGAAUAAGCACCGGCUAACUUCGUG
rnacentral:rRNA from 1 species